CUCAAUAAAGUGGUAAAAUCCAUUAUCUUUAUUCAAAUACAAAAGAAACCUUGAGAUUUUAUGACUCCAUAACGACUUUUACGACUCCUGGCAUUUGAGUCACUUUGGAAAUCCGUCUCAUGCUCCAGCCUCCCUGACCUGUGGCAGGCUCUACCACAUUUCUACAACCAAGCGGCCAGUAAAGAUGAAAGCAAUUCUUUUGUCUGAGGAGCUGGCCAUGGGAGCGUAUCAACCACAGACAUGACCUCAAGCACAGUCUGGGGAAGACUUUGGCCACAGCCCACACUACAAGGCUGUUUACCAAGCCUGCUGGAGCCUCUGAAGGGCAGCAGCCAGCUCACCCCCCAUGCCCUGGAUGGCAACAAGGCACAGGAGACCGCAGAGCAUACAAACAGGGCAAGAGGAAACCAUCUAUCAAUGACCAGGGACCAGAGGAAGCAAAGUUCUAACAUCUCGCUCACGUUCUCCCAAGGCCCAGAGCACUCCUCUUCUUGGUGGAUACCAAUGCACUUUGAGAAGAAGCAGGAAUGCAUGUAUUUCUAAACAAUGAACUUUGGAGAAAUUAACAGGCAAAGGAUCAAGUACUACUAAUAUAAAAAUGAAAAGAUGAUACCAGGCAAAGUAAAACCUGGGUUGUGGUGACAGCAGCACUCGUGUCUGACGUCUGAUGCAGACCCUUCCAUGAAGGCAGGUCACUGACUUGCUCUCACCCUCAGCCCCUCUGCAUAUAAUUCUCAGUUUCUCCAGAAAGCAUUUUACCUGUGCUUCAGAGGGACUAUUUAACAAAGACAUUUGCCAUUUUCCACUCCUUCUUUAGCCUCCCUAGGAGAUGCCCGGUGGUAAGUCUAUGAAGCUAACACGGUGCACCCACACCUCCAUCCCUGUCCCUGUCCUGCCACAUGGCUGCCUCUUUUGAGGACUCCACCUGGGUCAUUGAAUAUACUCUGGAGGGCACAGUGAUCUAGCCUUCCCAUUGUUUCUUACUUCUUUUUGCAGCACUGUCUUCCUUAGAAUCAGGCAUAAAAUCAUGGGACUCCAAUGGAAGACUCAGGGGACCCUGACCCACGGCCAGGCAGACAGCCCCUCAUGGGCCCAGAUAACCCUUCAUCCAUAUGAAUUGAACACUGUAAGAUAUCCACAGCUUCAGUUCUCAUAGCUGGGACCUCUGCUUUAUGCCAUAAAGUUUACUGAGAAACAAGCAUUUGUUCACUCUUCUGGGCAGUGGGCACAGUGCUGCAUCUUUAUGAGGCUUUUGUGAGGACUAAAGAGACCCUAUAUGCUCAGUUCAUUAUAAGGGCUUAGCAGGUGCUAUUAACCUUUCCUUCUCACUGAAUCAGGCUGACACCCAGAGGAAGCACAGCCUCCCCUCUGAAGCUUCCUCUACUGCAGUCUCUGUGCUCAUCGCAAGGAUCUCUCCAUAUUGACUUAUAUUUGUUUCUGGUCUUAUAUUUUUCUCUAUGGACAGACUUCUAUUUUCAGAAGAUAGAUAUUUAAGUCACAAUAUUCUGGACUCUGGCUUAGUUAGACCAACCGUCUCUUGAUCGUCUGUGGAAACUGAAUCAGGAACACCCCAGAGAGCUGGCUCUGGAUGUAAUUCACAGCUUCAUUUAAUUAUUAUCAUCAAAGUUAAUGAAGGCCAUAAACUGUUUCAUAACAUACCAAUGGGAAGUGUGAUUGGAGGGAAAGCUGGACACCUCACCAUAAAACUGGCACAGCAGAAACGGCUCGACUUAACAAAACCUUCUUAUGAAGAAAAAGACAAUGAAACCAUGUUCAGUUUAGUGAACCUUUCACACUUGGCAACAUGAAUGUUAAGUCAAAAGAACAAUGGAGCUAUGAGUUUUUUUAAUCAAAUUUUUAUUUUGGGUCAAAUAAGCCAUUUUGUUUGUUUGUUAUUAAGUGUAAAGAGAGCUUUCGGUUAGCUAUUUAGUUAUAACUUUAUCUCACCCACUUCUAAAAAAGCGUUGAGGCUACUUGAAGUAAAGUCCUGUAGACGAGAGAGCGUAACACUAAAAGAUAGAAAGAAAACUUAGAAGAUGGAAGAGAAAUAAUUGCACUAGAAACCUGGCCAAUAUCAUGAACAGGCUCCAUAUAGGGACUCCUGUAUAUAGAUCGCUGUGUGUGUGGAUAGUACGUUCAAUAAAUGUAUUAUCUGAACUGCUUUUAAAGUUCUACUCUUGGAUUCCUGAAAUACUAUCUCUAUGGAUUUGCCUAUUCUGGAUGCUUCAUAUAGAUGGAAUCAUUCAUUACGCAACCCUUUGUAUCUGGCUUCUUUCAUUUAGCAUGAGGCUUUCCAGGUUCAUCCAUAUCAUAAGAAGUAUCAGUAUUUUACUCCACUUUAAAGUUCUGUAAUAGUUACUAUCUAUCUAUUUGGUAUACAUACAUGUAUAUAUUAAUUUUGCUUAUCCAUUUAUUCAUUUAUGAACAUUUGGAUUGUUUCUACCUCUUGGAAUUGUAAAUCAUGC
rnacentral:lncRNA from 1 species